ensembl:lncRNA COP1-DT COP1 divergent transcript
CACGGAAAGAACCUAGAAGCUCCGAGCGGUUGCAGACAGCACUGCAUUGAGCCAACGACUCCUGCUCUACUGAUGGUGAUUCCACAGCUUUGUGAGGAAUAAGUUAAGAUGAAUUACAGUUUCCCCUGGACUUCUUUCUCUCUCCUGCCGCCUUGUGAAGAAGGUGCCUGCCUCCCCUUCCACCACGAUUCUAAGUUUCCUGAAGUCUCCCCAGCCAUGCUGAACUGAUAAGGUCCAUCUUGGCAAAUGGUCUGUGUGCACAAGAAAGAAUGUGAAUUCUGCAGUUGUUGGAAUGUUAUCUUAUCUGGAAGAAGAGGAAUAGGAAAGAAAAGGAGUCAGGAAUGGAUCUUACUCAGAAGGCUGACUAGACACAGCCAGGUGGAAGAGCUCCCACUGCGGGACCAAGAUGACUGGAAUGCCCCUAACAGAUCUUCAGAGGGAAGAAACCAGGAGUGGACAGAGAGAAGACACAGAAGCUGGGCUGAAGGUAGUGAAAGCUGGGAAUGUGGCACAGGACUACUGCACACCAGGUUUUGUUCCUGGCCCACAAUGGCUCUGGGGGAUCAGGUUGAAGGAAAAUUACCCUGGAUGGAAGAUCAGAGGUAUAGAAAGAAAUGGAGAGCAAAGAAAGAGGUCUGCAGGCUCAGAAGUCCAAGAUCAAGGAGCUGGCAUUGGAUGAGGGACUUCUUGCUGCAUCAUCCCAUGACAGAAGGACAAAGAAAGGGAGGGAGAGAGACAAAGAGAGAGUGAGAAAGAGAAAGAGGGGGGAAAAUUCUCUCUGUCUACCUUUUAUAAUGAACCUACUCUCGUGAUAACUGACCCACUCCUGUGAUUGAUAAUGGCAUUAAUUCAUUCACUUGGCCCUCAUGUCCUAAUGACCGUUCAUUAGGCCCCAUCUCCCAACACUGUUGCAUUGGGAUCAAGUUUUCAACACAUAGAAUUUGGGAGACACAUUCAAACCAUAGCACGCAUUAUUAACAGCCUCCAUUAGAGUGGUACAUUUGUUACAAAUGAUGAAACUACAUUGACACCUCAUUAUAACCCAAUAUUCAUAGUUUAUACUAUGUUCACUCUUGCUAUAUUUCAUGGGAUUUGACAAAUGUAUAAUGACAUAUAUCCACCAUUAGGUAUCAAACAUAAUAUUUUCAGUGCCCUAAAAAUCCUGUGUUUUGCCCAGUUAUCCCUCUCAUUCCCCUGACUCCUGGCAACCACUGACCUUUUACGCCUCUAUGGUUUUGCCUUUGCCAGAAUUUUACAUGGCUGAAAAUAUAUAGUAAGUAGCCUUUUCACAAUGGCUUCUUUCACUUAGUAAUAUGCAUUUAACUUUUCUCCAUGUCUCUUCAUGGUUUGAUAGCUUCCAUCUUUUUACUGCUAAAUAAUAUUUUCUGCUGAAUAUGCCACAGUUAAUUUAUGCACCUAGUGAAGAACAUCUUGGUUGUUUCCAAGUUUUGGCAAUUAUGAAUGAAGCUGACAUAAACAUCUAUGUGCAGGUUCUUAUGAGGAUAUAUUUUCAACUUUUUUGGGUAUAUGUCAAGGAGAGUGAUUGCUGGAU